rnacentral:rRNA from 1 species
AACAGAGGGGGCGAGCGUUAAUCAUCGAGACUGGGCGUAAAGAGUACGUAGGCGGACAUUAUUAAAACGGCUUGAGGAGCAUGCUUGCGUAUAGACGCAAACUUGCUUCUUGUAAUUUUUGUCUACUGAGAUAAGAUCAGGUUAGUGGAAAGUGAUGUAGAAUGGGACAAAAAUCUCCAAUAUAUUGAGUAACACCAAUGGCGAAGGCAACUAACUAGACUUAAUCUGACGCUGAGGUUACGAAACUUAUGGUCGCGAUAUGG